rnacentral:misc_RNA from 1 species
GAAAUGCGAUAAGUAGUGUGAAUUGCAGAAUUCAGUGAAUCAUCGAAUCUUUGAACGCACAUUGCGCCCUUUGGUAUUCCUUAGGGCAUGCCUGUUCGAGCGUCAUCUAAACCUUCAAGCCCUGCUUGGUGUUGGGUGCCUGUCCCGCCUCCGCGCGCGGACUCACCUCAAAUCCAUUGGCGGCCCCCGCGUCGGCCACGAGCGCAGCAGAAACGCGAACUCGUGAGCCCGUCCGGGCGGCUCCCAGAAGCUACACCCACCCAGUUUGACAUCGGAUCAGGUAGGGAUACCCGCUGAACUUAAGC